UUCUCAAAGUCAGUUUUUUGUUUUUCGUUAGCUUCAAUCUGAUCCACAGUACGUUCCCAAGUGCAAUGGGUAGCAGCCGAUUGAAUGGUAAUUCCUUUUUCCCGUUCAAGUUCCAUGAAAUCCAUUUUUGCUCCGACAUUAUCCUUUCCUCUGACUUCAUGAAUGUCUUUUAUCCUUCCUGUAUAGUACAAAACUCUUUCAGUAAAGGUAGUCUUGCCGGAAUCAAUAUGGGCAGAUAUUCCAAUAUUUCGAAUUUGUUUAAGUCGCUUUUUAUCGUUAUCAUUCAACUGUUCUUGGAUAUUCAAAUUAUUUUCUGAUGUAUUAGAAGCUUCAAUGCCCGUAUUUGCUACUGACGCGUAACCACGGACGACUAAAGUAGAAAGUCUGGGGAGGCGGCUUGUCAGCGACCUAAAUGAUAAUUUUAGCAUUUUAUAUUAUUUCAAUAGAAUAUAAAAACAGCCAUGAAUAACAUAAACAAUAAAUUCCUAGCUUUGGGAACACGCUGAGGUGGUGAGAGUCGUCGAGC